rnacentral:rRNA from 1 species
GAUGAACGCUGGCGGCGUGCCUAAUACAUGCAAGUCGAGCGAACGGACGAGAAGCUUGCUUCUCUGAUGUUAGCGGCGGACGGGUGAGUAACACGUGGAUAACCUACCUAUAAGACUGGGAUAACUUCGGGAAACCGGAGCUAAUACCGGAUAAUAUUUUGAACCGCAUGGUUCAAAAGUGAAAGACGGUCUUGCUGUCACUUAUAGAUGGAUCCGCGCUGCAUUAGCUAGUUGGUAAGGUAACGGCUUACCAAGGCAACGAUGCAUAGCCGACCUGAGAGGGGGAUCGGCCACACUGGAACUGAGACACGGACCAGACUCCUACGGGAGGCAGCAGUAGGGAAUGUUCCGCAAUGGGCGAAAGCAUGACGGAGCAAAGCCGCGUGAGUGAUGAAGGUCUUCGGAUCGUAAAACUCUGUUAUUAGGGAAGAACAUAUGUGUAAGUAACUGUGCACAUCUUGACGGUACCUAAUCAGAAAGCCACGGCUAACUACGUG